UUUUCAAAGUUUCCUAAAAAAUUUAUAUUCCAACUUGCUAAAAUGAAAAAAAAUUUUAGUAAAUAGAACUGCACUGUUCUCUAAUAAUCCAGAAGAAGGUUUUAAACAACGUAAAAGUUUAGAUAAACUUAUCGUUUGAAAAAAAAAAUUCGCAAAUGAAGAUAUCCAAUACAUCACUUUUGUAUACAUGAGUUUCAUCUUUAAAGUUUAUAAAACAGUUAUCAUUAAUUGGCGAUAAAAAUCUAGCUGAUACAAUUAAAAAUAAUUUGCUAUUACUGCCAACAGACACUAUUUUGUCAGAAACAUGAGUUGUCUAAAGAAGAAAAAAAAGUUUAAAGAGUUAGCAAGUCUAAGUAACUCUCUCACUGAAGCUGCUUUAAAGUCAAAUAAUAACUUAACCAAAAUGGAUGCUAUCCAACUUAUUGGG